UACAGAGGUCUCAAGCGUUGUCGCUGAUUCGAUUGGCGUAAAGGGUGCGUAGGCGGCGCGGUAAGUCGGGUGUGAAAUCUCGGAGCUUAACUCCGAAACUGCAUUUGAUACUGGCGUGCUUGAGGACUGGAGAGGAGACUGGAAUUCAUGGUGUAGCAGUGAAAUGCGUAGAGAUCAUGAGGAAGACCAGUGGCGAAGGCGGGUCUCUGGACAGUUCCUGACACUGAGGCACGAAGGCCAGGGGAGCAAACGGG
rnacentral:rRNA from 1 species